GCCUAAUCACAAAACUAUUAUCUUAAUCCCCCACCAACACCGAGUACUUCUAUAAUGCUAUAGAAAAUUUUAUGUUAAAACUAGUAACAAGAAGCAAACCUUCUCUUAAAUGUGGAUGUAAAUCAGAAAGGACAGACCACUGAUACUUAGCACCCUUGAACCUAAAGUAGCAACUAAUCAAGAAAACCCUACUCUGAGUAACGUUAACCUAACACAAGAACAUUUCAAGAAAGAUUAAAAGAAUAAGAAGGAACUCGGCAAAUUUUAACCUCGCCUGUUUACCAAAAACAUCGCCUCUUGCCCCCCCCCUAAGAGGUCCAGCCUGCCCAGUGACUCUGUUUAACGGCCGCGGUAUCCUAACCGUGCGAAGGUAGCGUAAUCACUUGUUCUUUAAAUAAGGACUAGUAUGAAUGGCAUCACGAGGGUUACACUGUCUCCUUUUUCCAAUCAGUGAAACUAAUCUCCCCGUGAAGAAGCGGGAAUUAAUCUAUAAGACGAGAAGACCCUAUGGAGCUUUAAACAAUACAGCAUUCACCUUAAAAUCUCUAAAAACAAACUUUACUAGGUAAAAUGACUAUAAGUUUUUGGUUGGGGUGACCGCGGAGCAUAAUCUAACCUCCUUGUUGAAAAAAUCUUAUUUUAAGCCCAGAAUUACUUAUCUAAGCAUCAACAUCUUGACAUCCAUUGACCCAAUUAUAUUGAACAACGAACCAAGUUACCCUAGGGAUAACAGCGCAAUCCACUUUAAGAGCCCAUAUCGACAAGUGGGUUUACGACCUCGAUGUUGGAUCAGGGUUUCCAAGUGGUGCAGCCGCUACUA
rnacentral:rRNA from 1 species